GACAGUUGUGGGUGAAGUUUUUGUGAUUGUGUGAUGUGAUCUGUGAAUUAGUGUUCUUAGAACUAAUUUUGCGAGUGGAAGAUUGUGAAAUUUGCCGCCCUUUGAACAGUAGCGUUGCACCUUUUAAAUUUGCUUACAUGUCUUAGAUGAGGUAGUUUUAUAAUUUCAACAUAAUGAAUAUCACUGUAUUAACAGUAUGACCAUAAAAUGGCGUUUAAAAAACAUGUAUUGACUCGACAUAAAAAAGUGCUGUAAAUACGGAGCAAUGGCUAUAUAAAAUGAUUAUGCAUAUUCUUUUUAAUUUGUGAACUUGGGCCAUCAGUUUGAAUUUGCCUUUCAGAAGUUUAAUUAUAUUCUCACCUAUUGCCCGAUGUAUAUUAUAUAUUGUACAGUAAAAACCAGCAGAAGAACAGAUCUAGAUGAAUAUAUUGCGAAUUUUAGCACAAAAAAUGAAGUGUCAACCAAGGAAUGGAAGUAUGUUCCUUGCAGUCGUGUUUAUCAUGGGUAUCAUGAAUUGAAAAUUUACGAACUGAAUCCAUCCACUUGUAAGCUGUCUCCCCUCAGUCACACCAUACUGGAAGUUUCUUAGUAUGGAAGCUGCACAUGAUCAGAGACUCCUUGUGGUAAAUUUGGAAAACUGCAUUUCUAGUACUGCUGCUGAGCAAGUUGUGAAAGGUGACUGUGUGUAUGCAGUUGCUGUAGGAUCUGACACAUGCAGCAAUGAAAGUAAGACUGUAAUACAGACUCCUGUAUCAGUCCAUUGUUCUGAAGAUGUACAGUAACCGUAUGCAACAGUAUCACAGUUGGUUGAGGAGCACUUAACUUUACCAGGACAGCAUUACACU